rnacentral:lncRNA from 1 species
GCCAUGGGUUCCAAAACUAGCAGCAUAAUGUCUGUAACAGACAUGCUACCUAAUUAAAUUGUUAGGGAACAGGCUUUUAUAUCUUUAACACCUAAUUUACUAUUGUUUCUUUGAAAGUGUUUGGCUUCCCUGUGGUUUUUUGGGCCUCCCUUCUCAGUUUUACGAUGGCUUUUAAGUUUUUUGUGUGUGUUUCUACUAAAUAACCAUUUUGGAAGUUUUGUUAGGGUCCCAGCUCAAGUUGGACCGAGGGAAGCAGGGGCCUGUUUUAGUGUUGUUCAUGCUGGGUGAGUUACCACUGCCGUGCUAAUUAUGUAAUUACCCUGUUUUAAUAGCUAUUGUACACUACUUUAUUGCUAACAAAUCUGAUUUCCUCUUUCUUUGCUCACCCAUCGAACAGUAAAGGCACAGGGACACACACAAACAUUAUACAGCUCCAUAAACCUAAAAACCAGAGCUGGCAGGGCUCUAGCCGUAAACAAGCAUCUUCAAGGCAGCAGGUUUAGCCAAAUCUACUCCACACUAAUGACAAUAUAAUUCUUGCUUACUGGGAAGACACAAAAUUGAAUUAGUUUCUCAAGAACCAAGUGCUCCACAGCUGUUGCUCAGGGGGUGUAUAACAUGCUCACCACAAAAAUCAGGGGCUAUACCUGAGAUGUUUGGACUGUGCUGUACCAGAAAUGAGUAAUGAACGUGUUAAUCAGCUACUUCCUCCCUUCUAUAUGAAAAAAAUAAAUAAAAUUAAAUAUAUAUAUAUAUAUAUAUACUUGGCCCCAGAGAGGUGGGGGAACAUAUGUUCCAAAAUAUUCCUGAAUUCUGCACAGUCAUUUAGAGUCCAUUGCUAACAAGACAAGGUAGGGUACUCAGAGAUAUCAGAAUGUAGAGGGGCAGGAUGAAAAGGGGAAAUGUCACCCAGCAUCUAUCCCAUAUGAAAUUUUAUCAUAAUAGCAAAAACCUUAUUUUUCUCCUCUCCUUGUUUUUUGCCCACAGCCAGCCCCAGGUCUCAUUCCCAUUUUAUCUGAAGGAGAACCAGUCUCAAGGCAGGACUCUGGACUAGUCCAGAAGACCAUCAUGACAACAUUGACUGAGAUCCACCUGCAGCCUCUGCCUUUCAGACCUUCAGUCAUUUCCCAGCCUUCCUUUUAGGAUGUCCUUGAGAAGGGUUCAAACCUGAUCACUUGGUGACAGGCUGUGCUCCUCAGAGCUCCAUGGAUGUCAGGUCUCUGAGUGGAGAUACCGUGCACAAGCUCCAUUCUACCAGCUUCUGCCUCCCACCCUGAAGGAGUUAAGCAAAAUUUACAGCAUUUUAAACUUAUAUUACUCACUUGUAUUGAAUUAUUUUUGGAUCAGAUAUUAAAUGGAGGUUUUCCAUAUAAUAUCUGUCACAGAUGGAAAAAACCCCAUCAUCUAUGGAUGAGUGUAAUCCAUUCAUUGGUUUACGGAUACAGCCCUCUCCAGGGAUUGUCAGAAAUAAACACAAUGUCCCUGUUUGCUGGAUUUUUGCA